CCUACGGGUGGCAGCAGUGGGGAAUAUUGGACAAUGGGGGCAACCCUGAUCCAGCCAUGCCGCGUGUGUGAAGAAGGCCCUCGGGUUGUAAAGCACUUUCAGUGAGGAAGAACGCCUGGUGGUUAAUACCCAUCAGGAAAGACAUCACUCACAGAAGAAGCACCGGCUAACUCCGUGCCAGCAGCCGCGGUAAUACGGAGGGUGCGAGCGUUAAUCGGAAUUACUGGGCGUAAAGCGCGCGUAGGUGGCUUGAUAAGCCGGUUGUGAAAGCCCCGGGCUCAACCUGGGAACGGCAUCCGGAACUGUCAAGCUAGAGUGCAGGAGAGGAAGGUAGAAUUCCCGGUGUAGCGGUGAAAUGCGUAGAGAUCGGGAGGAAUACCAGUGGCAAAGGCGGCCUUCUGGACUGACACUGACACUGAGGUGCGAAAGCGUGGGUAGCAAACAGGAUUAGAUACCCCAGUAGUC
rnacentral:rRNA from 1 species